AUGCUGAUCCGCGAUUACUAGCGAUUCCAGCUUCACGCAGUCGAGUUGCAGANNNCGAUCCGAACUGAGAACAGAUUUAUGGGAUUGGCUAAACNNUGCGGUCUCGCAGCCCUUUGUUCUGUCCAUUGUAGCACGUGUGUAGCCCAGGUCAUAAGGGGCAUGAUGAUUUGACGUCAUCCCCACCUUCCUCCGGUUUGUCACCGGCAGUCACCUUAGAGUGCCCAACUAAAUGCUGGCAACUAAGAUCAAGGGUUGCGCUCGUUGCGGGACUUAACCCAACAUCUCACGACACGAGNNGACGACAACCAUGCACCACCUGUCACUCUGUCCCCGAAGGGAAAGCCCUAUCUCUAGGGUUGUCAGAGGAUGUCAAGACCUGGUAAGGUUCUUCGCGUUGCUUCGAAUUAAACCACANNNNCCACCGCUUGUGCGGGNCCCCGUCAAUUCCUUUGAGUUUCAGUCUUGCGACCGUACUCCUCAGGCG
rnacentral:rRNA from 1 species